rnacentral:rRNA from 1 species
CAGCUCUUGACAUUCGGGGUAUGGGCAUUGGAGACGAUGUCCUUCAGUUAGGCUGGCCCCAGAACAGGUGCUGCAUGGCUGUCGUCAGCUCGUGUCGUGAGAUGUUGGGUUAAGUCCCGCAACGAGCGCAACCCUCGCCCUUAGUUGCCAGCAUUUAGUUGGGCACUCUAAGGGGACUGCCGGUGAUAAGCCGAGAGGAAGGUGGGGAUGACGUCAAGUCCUCAUGGCCCUUACGGGCUGGGCUACACACGUGCUACAAUGGUGGUGACAGUGGGCAGCGAGACAGCGAUGUCGAGCUAAUCUCCAAAAGCCAUCUCAGUUCGGAUUGCACUCUGCAACUCGAGUGCAUGAAGUUGGAAUCGCUAGUAAU